GAAAAGCAGGAGGGUCAAAGAAAGAGUUUUCAACAGGCUUGGGCUUUCUUUCAUGAGAGGCUCUUAAGAAAUCAUCUAUCUCUUUUACCCGGCCUUGUAGAUUUCUGAUCUCUCUUUCCUUUUGGUCAAAACUUUUUCCAAAAGUUCUCUCUUCUAACAUCUGCCACAAAUCACGAUCCGGCUGAGAUACUUGGGCUUUUAAGCUCCUGUAGUGCUUUUGCAUUUUUUGGGAUAAAACCUUGAGACUGUCAUC
rnacentral:lncRNA from 1 species